UGCCUCUUCUAUAGUGAGAGGCCUUUAGCCAACAGGUCUUGGGAUCUGAUGAUACACCAUAAAGCUACGCCCUUUAUGGACGGGAAAC